UAGCAUGUGAUGAGAUAUACUCGGAUUCCCCUUCUUACAUUAUGGGUGAUGUGAAAUCGAGCUUCUGAAGCG